GCUGGAGUGGUGGAAUGGCAUACACGCCGGUCUCAAAAACCGGUGAGGGCAACCUCGUGAGGGUUCAACUCCCUCCUCCAGCA
rnacentral:tRNA from 1 species